GCCUAUAAUUUUCUUCAAGAAAAGAAAAAACUACAAGAAGACAGCAAAUUUUGGAGACUAAACGCAUAAUCAAGGAAAACAUGAACAAGCUCUUUUCUCUUUCUCGCAACCUUGCAUCAAGGCUUUCGAAUUCCUUUCCUACUCCAACUCUCGACAUUGUAAGAAUUACGCUUCUUUUGCCACACCAGUGAGAACCCAUAAAGUCACCUCUUUCCCUCAUUCCUCACUCGCCCUCUUCAGGAUCACUCCCGUUCACCAAGUUUUGCCGAGAAAAUUUAUGGGUUUUUCUCAGUUCCGGCGGCCGGAAAGCGAUUCAUCUUCAAUACUUCAAAUACCCUUUUCAGGAAGGGUCUAAAACAAAUUGGGUCUGAGUUGAAACUAGCUUUUGAUCAUCAAUGGGGAGGCAGUAUGCACAACUCUAAACAGCACAAAGAUUCACAGUUCACUAUGAAAAAUCCUGAAAGAGUCCUUGUUGGUUUCAUUACAUAGCAGUUUUAUCAUUGGAAUGGACAUGUUGAGGCCUACUAGAGAAUGACAACCAAAUUUCAAGAUCUAUCCACUUGUGGGGUAUUGCAUUUCCAACCUCCAUCCGUGCCCUUCUCUGAAUAUCGGAAGAACUUUCGUACUCGAAACUGUGUUUGAUGCAAUAAUACUCACCAACUUCUUUCUUAACCCUCUCACUCUACGAAAGAUCUUUCAAUCGGUUUAAUACAUUUACAUUUCAUUACAUACAUGAUUUGUUGAUUUGACACUAUGAUAGUUAGUUACCAUAUGUCACACUGCCUAAUGGCAAUCCAUUGAGGGACAAUUUGGCAGAUCUCUAUAUCCACAUGAAUCACAUUAAUACAGCAUACUAUUUCCUUGAAAUUUCUA